rnacentral:rRNA from 1 species
AUUGAACGCUGGCGGCAGGCUUAACACAUGCAAGUCGAGCGGGGUGAUGGUGCUUGCACUAUCACUUAGCGGCGGACGGGUGAGUAAUGCUUAGGAAUCUGCCUAUUAGUGGGGGACAACAUCUCGAAAGGGAUGCUAAUACCGCAUACGUCCUACGGGAGAAAGCAGGGGAUCACUUGUGACCUUGCGCUAAUAGAUGAGCCUAAGUCGGAUUAGCUAGUUGGUGGGGUAAAGGCCUACCAAGGCGACGAUAUGUAGCGGGUCUGAGAGGAUGAUCCGCCACACUGGGACUGAGACACGGCCCAGACUCCUACGGGAGGCAGCAGUGGGGGAUAUUGGACAAUGGGGGGAACCCUGAUCCAGCCAUGCCGCGUGUGUGAAGAAGGCCUUAUGGUUGUAAAGCACUUUAAGCGAGGAGGAGGCUCUUUUGGUUAAUACCCAAGAUGAGUGGACGUUACUCGCAGAAUAAGCACCGGCUAACUCUGUGCCAGCCGCCGCGGUAA